UUUUUUUUUAUUCAUAAACUUUUUUAAGAACUGAAAACGUAUAUAUAAAAAGGUAAUAAAAUAAUGUUCUGGAUUCAUAAUAAAGUUGAACAACUGUAUACUAGGUGGUAAAAUAAUUAUCAUAUAAAAAUACUGAUCAUUUACAUUUUGAUCCGACAAAAACAUUUGUAAACUGUAAUAUUACAUGGACGGCACAAUGGAGUUUUAAUGUCAUUAUUUCCUUCUAUCACACAGAACAUAAAUGUCUCAAAGACAUGUUAACAACAUUAAUUAACUUUCCAUAAAUCCCAGCAAGAUCAGGUCAGUGUAAAAAUGUGAAAAAGACACUCCUUAAAUUCAACAUUGCAACCAACCUUCAGGAAAAAACGUCUAAGACAGGAUUUUUAGCUGAAAAUUCUCAUGCUGAUAUGAAGACAAUAACAACUUUCUGUGCAAUGUCCUACGGUAUUGACAAGUACAAACAAUGUACAAUGAACCUGUGAUAAUCUAGACAGUAGUGGGGAAUCUUACAAUCCAGACAAUGCUGGACGAUAAAGAAGGUGUCCUGAUUAACGAGGGUCCACGGUAGAUUAUAUAAAUUUCCUGUGAAUUGAUCUUGUACCAUCUAUAUCGUGAGACAGGGGGAUCUCGAUCUUAGGUUGACAGACCAAUGUAUUGUUGUUUUGUCAUUAUACCAUUGUUGUGAACAGGGAAUCCCCUCUGUCUUAACCCUUGGCUGACAGCACUGGUAAAAAUGAUCACACCUGUCCAAGUUGGGGUACUGGUAAAAGUGGAUGUAUAUACCUGUCCAGGUUAAGAGAUGAGGUACUGGUAAAGUGGAUGUAUAUACCUGUCCAGGGUAAGAGUUGAGGUACUGGUAAAGUGGAUGUAUACACCUGUCCAGGGUAAGAGUUGAGGUACUGGUAAAGUGGAUGUAUAUACCUGUCCAGGUUAAGAGAUGAGGUACUGGUAAAAGUGGUUGUAUACACCUGUCCAGGUUAAGAGAUGAGGUACUGGUAAAAGUGGAUGUAUACACCUGUCCAGGGUAAGAGUUGAGGUACUGGUGAAAGUGGAUGUAUAUACCUGUCCAGGGUAAGAGAUAAUGAAAUCUCUGUAUACUAGUACAGGUUAAGAGAUGAGGUACUGGUAAAAGUGGAUGUAUACACCUGUCCAGGUUAAGAGUUGAGGUACUGGUAAAGUGGUUGUAUAUACCUGUCCAGGGUAAGAGUUGAGGUACUGGUAAAGUGGAUGUAUACACCUGUCCAGGGUAAGAGAUAAUGAAAUCUCUGUACACUAGUCCAGGUUAAGAGUUGAGGAAAAUGUCAAUACAACUGUCCAGUGUAUGAGGUGAGGAAAUCUCUCAAUGGUAAAAGGUGGAUAAAUCUCGAUACACCAAAAGAAAUACAACACAUCUUGGAGAAUGCAUGUAUAUUACGACCAAUAAUUGAAUGUAAUAACUUUCCAUAAAAUCAUAAAACCACUUAAUAAUGUCUUUGCAUAUGUAUAAAACCAGCAGUUCUGGAGUAAAAUUGCAUAGGUAUUGGAUCAAAAUAAAUAUAAUAUACACAACAACAUAUGAUCAUGAAGAAAAUCUCAAAAACUGUUACAAUGUUUUUCAACUUUGACAAGAGCUGAUUUGAAUAAUCAAUUGAUAUAUGUAAUGCAUAUUAAGUAGCCAUGGAACAUAGCACAGGGACAUGAAACAAAUUCAGAAUUCCAAGUUCCUCUGUCUGUAUAUUACAUGUAUCUGUAAAACAUGGAUAGACAGACCUUGGGGUCCCUGUGGAACAUAUGAGCUCCCUGGCGAUUGUCAUAUCUAAGUCUCUACCUAGGUUUCUGUAUAGCCAUUAUGAAGGCAUUGACAAAAUAUGAAUUUAACCAUGCAUAAACAUUAUACCAAAGGAAUUCUGAUUAUUAACAUUGCUAGAUACAUCAGGUGAUUUUUUUUUUUUUUUUUUUAAUUUACAAUAGGAAGGACUUUGUCUUCAAUAAUUGACUUUUCCUUGUAAAUAUAUAAUGAUCUACAGCUGUGAUUCGGUGUAACUUCAAAUAACGACUUUGUCUAGCACAUAUCGAUGUAAGGUUCUGGUAGAGGGUAUAGUACGAUGUAAUUCUGGUAGAAGAUACAGCACCAAAGUGACUUAGAGUAACAACUUCGCCUUGCACGUAUCGAUGUAAGGUUCUGGUAGGGGGUACAGCAUCAAAGUGACUUAGAGUAACGACUUCGCCUUGCACGUAUCGAUGUAAGGUUCUGGUAGAGGGUAAAGCGCCAGGUUCCCCUUGAAUGCUGAUACAUCAGUUAUAUGGACAGGCUGG